AGAAACUUAGGAUAAACCCAACCCCUCAAACCGGAGGCCUUCAAAGCCUCAAAUAAAAGUUAAACCCUCUUUGUUUUUG
rnacentral:tRNA from 1 species